rnacentral:rRNA from 1 species
AUUGAACGCUGGCGGAAUGCUUUACACAUGCAAGUCGAACGGUAGAGGGGGCAACCCCUUGAGAGUGGUGAACGGGUGAGUAAUAUAUCGGAACGUGCCCAGUCGUGGGGAUAACGUAGCGAAAGUUACGCUAAUACCGCAUACGAUCUAAGGAUGAAAGCGGGGGAUCGCAAGACCUCGCGCGAUUGGAGCGGCCGAUAUCAGAUUAGGUAGUUGGUGGGGUAAAGGCUCACCAAGCCAACGAUCUGUAGCUGGUCUGAGAGGACGACCAGCCACACUGGAACUGAGACACGGUCCAGACUCCUACGGGAGGCAGCAGUGGGGAAUUUUUGGACAAUGGACGCAAGUCUGAUCCAGCCAUUCCGCGUGCAGGAUGAAGGCCCUCGGGUUGUAAACUGCUUUUGUACGGAACGGAAACCGGUGAGGCUCUAAUACAGUUUGCUAAUGACGGUACCGUAA